GAGGAUUUUAAUGGCCGCAGUAUUUUGACUGUGCAAAGGUAGCAUAAUUAUUAGUUUUUUAAUUGAAAGCUUGUAUGAAGGGUUGGACGAGAUAAAGCCUGUCUUUAUUUAAAUUAUAAUAGAAUUUAACUUUUAAGUCAAAAGGCUUAAAUGUUUAUAAAAGACGAGAAGACCCUAUAGAUCUUUAUUUAAUUAAUAUUUUAAUAAUUUAGGAUUAUUUUAAUUUAAAGUUUUAAUUAAAUUUUAUUGGGGUAAUAUAAAGAUUUAAUUAAUUCUUUUUAUUUAUUACAUUAAUUUAUGAGUUUGUGAUCCAAUAUUAUUGAUUAUAAGAUUAAGUUACCUUAGGGAUAACAGCGUAAUUUUUUUGGAGAGCUCAUAUCGAUAAAAAAGUUUGCGACCUCGAUGUUGGAUUAAAAAUUAUCUUGGGUGCAGAAGUUCAAGAUUUUGGUCUGUUCGACCAUUAAAUUUUUACAUGAUCUGAGUUCAGACCGGCGUAAGCCAGGUCGGUUUCUAUCUUUAUUUAAUUAUAAUAUUUUAGUACGAAAGGACCAAAUAUUUAAUAUAAUUAUAUUUAUUUUUUGAAUAAUAAUAUUACUUUGGCAGAUUAGUGCAAUGAAUUUAGAAUUCAUGAAUGUAAUUUUUUUACAAGUAAUACUUGUAUUUGGGGGAUUUAUUAUUGAUAGUAUUUUGUAUAUUAAUUCUUGUAAUUUUUGUAUUAGUUGGGGUAGCUUUUUUAACAUUAUUAGAACG
rnacentral:rRNA from 1 species